rnacentral:rRNA from 1 species
GAUGAACGCUGGCGGCGUGCCUAAUACAUGCAAGUCGAGCGAACGGACGAGAAGCUUGCUUCUCUGAUGUUAGCGGCGGACGGGUGAGUAACACGUGGAUAACCUACCUAUAAGACUGGGAUAACUUCGGGAAACCGUAGCUAAUACCGGAUAAUAUUUUGAACCGCAUGGUUCAAAAGUGAAAGACGGUCUUGCUGUCACUUAUGGAUGGAUCCGCGCUGCAUUAGCUAGUUGGUAAGGUAACGGCUUACCAAGGCAACGAUGCAUAGCCGACCUGAGAGGGUGAUCGGCCACACUGGAACUGAGACACGGUCCAGACUCCUACGGGAGGCAGCAGUAGGGAAUCUUCCGCAAUGGGCGAAAGCCUGACGGAGCAACGCCGCGUGAGUGAUGAAGGUCUUCGGAUCGUAAAACUCUAUUAUUAGGGAAGAACAUAUGUGUAAGUAACUGUGCACAUCUUGACGGUACCUAAUCAGAAAGCCACGGCUAACUACGUG